CAAUCCUCAAUUUGCAUAUUCCAGCACUUAAAAGUGAUCUCAGAUCACUUCCUCCCAGCACUUGUCAACGGGAAUCCACACUUGAGUAGAGCAGCCAUCACAACCCCUGACCUGUACUUGGCCAGCUUGGUCCCCACUGGACCCCAGGAAAGCCAACCACACUGUUCGAUAAACAGAGCUUCAAAGAAGCCUCCCCCUCAUACAAAUAGGUCACAAACAAACACACUCAGUCGCCACAAACAUUACACAAGCAGCCUUUCACAUGCAAUACUACUAACAAGCAUCCCACAUCACCAAACACACAAUGUGACUUCUCAUCCUCUCACAAGCAGCCCCCAUCCAUAGGUAUUAUACAGAUUUACAACAAACUACUCAUGAACAUAUGCUAUAUAACAAUCCAAACAACACUAGAAAGCAACUGCAGCACCCACAAAUAAGCAGAAUAAAGCCACAAACACACUUAAAUUAAAAAAAAAAAAAAAUUAGGUCCAGCACACAAAAGAACUUAAAGAUCUUGUUUUGGCACAGUACUAAAAUGUUGUCUACCCCUGCCCUAGGCUGUAAUGUAAAUACUGCCUAUUCUCUAAAAAUACAGUUUUUAUAGUCAUACCUCACAGGCUUUUUGAAGUACUCACCAGAACAACAUUAGGCUGUAGUUGUUCUGGUGACUAUAGUGUUUUAUUUAAACUUAAGUUCUUAUGUUAAACUUUGAGACC